CUGGGCACUCGCAGGCCUCGGUUUCCACGCCAGGAACCGUUUGAGCCAGCCUGGGGCUGCCUUUGGAGUCGCAGCUGCUUCCGCCUUCUGUCCUGAGAAUUCCUGGGAGGGUCCAGCCAAGCUGAUCUGUUCCUGACUGGCCUUCAUCACUUCCGAUGAGGUCAUUUCUCUUCCUGCUGCAUAACCUGUUUUGGGGAUCCGAGGAGGAGGUUCCUUUCACCCCAAGGAAGAACUCCGAAUGGAUCUACUGCAGGAGCUGGAGGAGAACAGUCAUCCGAGGGCUCUGGGUCCUCAGCCAAGGAGGAGUGGAAACAACGACAGAAAAGCUGGAAAACCUGAGACCCGGGAGCAGAGACCUGCCUGAUGACAUGCCUCGAGGGGAACAGAGUCAACCCUGGAACCCAGGCCCACCCCACCCAGCACCCCUGUGGGUGCCUGGCCUGUGUGCGUGAGGUGGGAGUGGAGAGCGGAGGAAACUCUUGAAUGGUCAGAAACAAGAGUCUAGAGUCCAUGAAACCACACCAGCCGACAAUCAGUCAACAAACAUUAAUUGAGCAGCUACUCUGUGCCAGGCUUCUAGGUACAUGGGAUGCAACGGUCAAGCAAACGAACACCUCGGUUUUUAAGAAGCUUACAUUCAAGGGAGAGUUCUCAUUGUCCUGUGAUAAAACGUGGGGAGACAGAUGAUGAAAAGCCCACCUGACCUCAUCCAGUUCAGCCAGCCUGGAGGCCAAGGGAUGAAGCAUUUGACAUCUGUAGGAGUUCCUGUUGUGGCUCAGUGGGUUAAGGAACCCGACAUUGUCUCUGUCGAGGAUAUAGGUUCGAUUCCUGGCC